rnacentral:rRNA from 1 species
GACGAACGCUGGCGACGUGCUUAACACAUGCAAGUCGAACGAAGUGGCGAACGGGUGAGUAACGCGUAAUCCACCUGCCCUUCAGAGGGGGACAACAGUUUGAAACGACUGCUAAUACCGCAUACUGUAGGAGUGGAUUGCGUCUGAGUAGCUAGUUGGAGGGGUAAUGGCCCACCAAGGCGUUGAUCAGGAGCAGGUGUGAGAGUAUGACCGGCCACAUUGGGACUGAGACACGGCCCAGACUCCUACGGUAGGCAGCAGUGGGGAAUCUUCCGCAAUGGACGAAAGUCUGACGGAGCAACGCCGCGUGAGUGAUGACGGCCUUCGGGUUGUAAAGCUCUGUUAAUCGGGACGCGGUACCGGAAUAGAAAGCCACGGCUAACUACGUGCCAGCAGCCGCGGUAAUUC